rnacentral:rRNA from 1 species
AUUGAACGCUGGCGGCAGGCCUAACACAUGCAAGUCGAACGGUAACAGCCAGCAGCUUGCUGCUUCGCUGAUGAGUGGCGGGCGGGUGAGUCAUGUCUGGGAAACUGCCUGCUGGAGGGUGAUAUCUACUGGAAACGGUAGCUAACACCUCAUAACUCCUCCUGACUAAAGGGGGUGGCCUUGGUUCCUCGUGUCGUCGUGUGCGCCCAGAUGGUAUUAGCUAGUAGGUGGUGUAACGGCACCACUAGGCGACCAUCUCUAGCUGGUCUGAGAGUAUGACCAGCCACACUGGAACUGAGACACGGACCAGACGCCUACGGGAGGCAGCAGUGGGGAAUAUUGCGCAAUGGGCGCGAGCCUGAUGCAGCCAUGCCGAGUGUAUGAAGACAGCCUUCGGGUUGUAAAGUACUUUCAGCGGGGGGGAAGGGAGUAAGGUUGAUACCUUGGGUCAUUGACGUUACCCGCAGAAGAAGCACCGGCUAACUCCGUG